GAUGAAGAACGUAGCGAAAUGCGAUACUUGGUGUGAAUUGCAGAAUCCCGUGAACCAUCGAGUCUUUGAACGCAAGUUGCGCCUCAAGCCAUUAGGUUGAGGGCACGUCUGCCUGGGCGUCACAUAUCGUUGCCUGAUGCCAGUUUCCUCGUGAUGGGUGACUGUGCAGGGCGAAUGAUGGCUUCCCGUGAGCAUUGUUGCCUCAUGGUUGGUUGAAAAUUGAGUCCUUGGUAGGGAGCGCCGUGAUAGAUGGUGGUUGAGUGACGAAAGAGACCCAAUCAUGUGAGACCCCUACCGAAUUUGGCCUUCAUGACCCACAUGCGUCUUUGGAACGCUCAUGACGAGACCUCAGGUCAGGCGGGGCUACCCGCUGAGUUUAAGCAUAUCAAUAAGCGGAGGA
rnacentral:misc_RNA from 1 species